UGGGCGCAGCCUGAUCCAGCCAUGCCGCGUGUGUGAAGAAGGCUUUCGGGUUGUAAAGCACUUUCAGUGAGGAAGAAAGCCUUGGGGCCAAUACCCCCAAGGGACGACAUCACUCACAGAAGAAGCACCGGCUAACUCCGUGCCAGCAGCCGCGGUAAUACGGAGGGUGCAAGCGUUAAUCGGAAUUACUGGGCGUAAAGCGCGCGUAGGCGGCGUGAUAAGCCGGUUGUGAAAGCCCCGGGCUCAACCUGGGAACGGCAUCCGGAACUGUCAGGCUAGAGUGCAGGAGAGGAAGGUAGAAUUCCCGGUGUAGCGGUGAAAUGCGUAGAGAUCGGGAGGAAUACCAGUGGCGAAGGCGGCCUUCUGGACUGACACUGACGCUGAGGUGCGAAAGCGUGGGUAGCAAACAGGAUUAGAUACCCUGGUAGUCCACGCCGUAAACGAUGUCGACUAGCCGUUGGGGUCCUAGAGACCUUUGUGGCGCAGUUAACGCGAUAAGUCGACCGCCUGGGGAGUACGGCCGCAAGGUUAAAACUCAAAUGAAUUGACGGGGGCCCGCACAAGCGGUGGAGCAUGUGGUUUAAUUCGAUGCAACGCGAAGAACCUUACCUACCCUUGACAUCCUCGGAAGCCUGCAGAGAUGCGGGUGUGCCUUCGGGAGCCGAGUGACAGGUGCUGCAUGGCUGUCGUCAGCUCGUGUUGUGAAAUUUUGGGUUAAGUCCCGUAACGAGCGCAACCCUUGUCCCUAUUUGCCAGCGAUUCGGUCGGGAACUCUAGGGAGACUGCCGGUGACAAACCGGAAGGAAGGUGGGGACGACGUCAAGUCAUCAUGGCCCUUA
rnacentral:rRNA from 1 species